rnacentral:misc_RNA from 1 species
AAUUAAUCUGUAAGCAAUAUAUACAUAAAAAGGGUCUUAUAUUUAUUUAUCAGAGUCAUAAAGACUUCGAAACAGAGGGUUUUGUUAUACUACAACAGGUGUGAUCUUGAUAUACUUUGGUCUGAUGUCUCUAUUGAAGAUUGCUUUCUGUCUUUCUUUUGGGGUGCUGCUGAAUCUAGAUGGUUAACCUCGCACUCUCUAUAAUGGCUGGAGAUGUGUUUAGGAAAGCUGAAUGAAUUUCUUUUGCUUGUUCGUAAAGAAAUAGGGUCUAAGUGUUUCUUGUGUUAAUAAGUUCUUCUUUAUUUGGUAUGGAUUUUGUUUUUCUGGUGUUUUAUUGUUAUAUGUUACAUGUAAAUGGAUCACAAAUCUUCUCAUGCAUCUAACGUAAAUUGACAUCCCUUGGGCUCAUUGAC